rnacentral:rRNA from 1 species
GAUGAACGCUGGCGGCGUGCCUAAUACAUGCAAGUCGAGCGAACGGACGAGAAGCUUGCUUUUCUGAUGUUAGCGGCGGACGGGUGAGUAACACGUGUAUAACCUACCUAUAAGACUGGGAUAACUUCGGGAAACCGGAGCUAAUACCGGCUAAUAUUUUGAACCGCAUGGUUCAAAAGUGAAAGACGGUCUUGCUGUCACUUAUAGAUGGAUCCGAGCUGCAUUAGCUAGUUGGUACGGUACCGGCUUACCACGGCAACUAUGCAUAGCCGACCUGAGAGAGGGAGUGACCACACUAGAUGUGAGCCGCGGACCAGACUCCUACGGGAGGCAGCAGUAGGGAAUGUUCCGCAACGGGAGAAAGCCUGACGGAGAAACGGCGCGUGGGGGAUAAAGGUCUUGGGAUCGUAAAAAUCUGUUAUUAGGGAAGAACAGAUGUGUAAGUAACUGUGCACAGCUUGACGGUAAUAAAUCAGAAAGCAACGGCUAAAUACGUG